rnacentral:lncRNA from 1 species
CUGAUAUUUAUCUUGUGUGGAAAGGGCUGCCUGAGAGGGCUGCAGUGUGGUUUGUUUGGAGGUUUGCUGGGGUGGUUUUGCUUAGAUUUUCCUCCUAAAAUAUCCAAAGUUCUACUACUACAGCAUUAGCUGUGCUUGCCAUGUUUUGUGCUCUUGUGAGGAUGGUUUUGUGUCUGACUCAGAUCUUCUGUUCUUUAAAUGCCACGUUGUGAUUUGAUAGUAUAGGAGUCAAAUAAAACACUCAGUAAGAAUCAUAAGUCAUUUUUAUAAAUUGCUGUUUGCUGUUUCCAUAGAGGUGCUUCUUUUUUACCAGAAAUACUUUGAAAUUAAAAAAAAAAAAAAAAAAAAACCCUAAAAAAAAAAAAAAAAAAAAAGAGUAAAUCAGAUCCAUAGGGAUCCCAGGUGGUGUUAGGGUUUGCUUGCAGCCUCUCCUCAGCUCCUGGUUUGUAUUUUUCCACAGUGCUUUGUCACUGGUUUUCAUGCCAGCUCUGAACUGGUUUCAGUUCUAGAGUGUCUCCUUUUGCCAUGUCCUUUCCUUCUUUUCAUAUCUCAGCAUAAAUAUCCACUCAGGUGCAAUAUGUGGAGCACAGUGAGCAGCUUUGUCCACCCCAGAGCUGAUCAAGUAAAUUGGAAUUUUGAUUUGGAGCAUAUUCCAAUGCCCAGAGCCAGCCAAGCUCUUCCACCAGCACAGAGAGCUGGAGGAAGGCAGCAGUGCCUGAAUGCACAACAGAGGAUGGAAAUCUGCUUUUUCUGUUCUAAAGAAUUAUCAGGUGUCUUGUGUCACAGUGGUGGCACUGACAGUGUCCUGUUCCCUGGGAGGUGUGUUGCAUCACAGUCAGUGGUGGCACUGACAAUGUCCUGUUCCCUUGGGGGAUAUAUUGCUGUAGGUGCUGUGCUGGGUGCUCUCAGUGUGCAGGAGGAUUUAAUUUUUAGUAGCAUUGUUUUUUCUGGCCAGAAAACCCCUCAGCCUUCAUGGGACAGGCUUAAGGGUGAGGUGGCCAAGGCACCCACCCUGUCCCAUUUCCUGUUCACAGAGGCAGGAACAACCUGAAUACCCCUGGUCUAACAGUUCCAACUUUAUCACAGCCUUUAAUCUCUUGGGAUAAGAAUGAAAUAAUGUUUCUAAUGGUUACUCCCCUGUGCUGCUGCUUUAUAAACAUCUCCUGUCCGUGCAUGAUUUCUUGGCAAUAUUUUAACCCCCCAUUCCCUCUGUGGUUGGUGGAUUCCCUGUAGAAUGUUUCUCUCUUCCUUGGAAAAACCAUGUGUUCUGACAAACCAUCAGUUAGUCUGUGAUAUACAGCUCAUGAGAUGCCAGGAUAAAAUUUUAUAUUCUGGGACAAUUAGUGGUGAGCUCAUCAGGUCCUGACAAAACAAGCCCCAGCAUCACAUUUGGGGCAUGGAUGUUUCAAUUUUUUACCAAUAACUGGAAAAAUGUAACCAAGGAUAAAACACCAGUGGCUGUGAGACCUCACAGCAGCUCCUGGCAGCGAGGGCUCCAUCCUGAAAAUUGUGAUAAAGCUCAGGAGCAAAGCUGCCACACUCCAGAGGUGACAAAUCCCACAGAAAUCAGUGUCCAAGGGACACCAUGCUAAGAAAAGAGCUGCCAGCAACCAAGCUCAUGUUGUGUAAGCAAACAUUACUUGAACUAAAAUGUGCCACUGAAGUGUCUGUUGGAACAAGAAGAGUGGGCAAAACUACUUCAAAGUAUUUAUUUCCAAAGUUUCUGACAAGUAAGAGAAGUAGCUUGACCCCCACUGUGGUGCUUGUUGUGGUGAAAAUCUUCUCAAGAUGUUUUUGCACGCUGUAAAUCAGAAUGUUGGAGCUCUGCACUUGUUAUUGAUCUCCUAUUGGGAAAUGAACAGGGUAUUGACAGAUGGAAAACCAGACAAAUGGGUUAGACUUUGCCUCCCUCCAUUUUUCCAUGCUAAUUACAGCUCUCUGUUGAUUUUUGCUUGCUCUGCCCCAAGGAGUAGAGUGGUAGUAAGUGCAGUACAUUGCUGAGUAGCUCCUGGAAUGGAUUCAUUUCAGGAAUGCAUUAAGUGAUAUUUCCCUUUAAUAGAUCAAUGUAAACAUGCAGGAUGAGUGGGAGUCUGGGAGGAAAGGAGUCAGGCUCUGGAAUAUUUCCCAUUACACAUUCAAAAUUCAUACAGUGGUGGUGGAGAUGUAGAAGUUGUUUUGAGAACUUGGCUUAGGCCUUCAGACUUGCACACUUACACACUGGAUGUCCUUUGUGCUGAUGCUGAGGAUGUUCUGUCUGUUGGAAUAUUUAAUAACCUUGCUAAUUGUUUAGCUUGCCUACUCUGUACUGAUAUAUCACGUAGGAAUCUUUCCUUUUUGUUGGCUUUCUUAGAAUCCCAGAUUGGUGUGGGUUGAAAGGAGCCUUAAAGCCCAUCCAGUUCCACCUUCCACUAUCCCAGAGCCCCAUCCAGCCCGGCCCUGGACACUUCCAGAGACAGGCACAGCUUCUCUCAGCAGCCUCUGUGCUUGCAUAUAACACACAAACCCAU